rnacentral:rRNA from 1 species
ACGGGGGAUGCAAGUGUUAUCCGGAAUCACUGGGCGUAAAGCGUCUGUAGGUGGUUAAGUAAGUCAACUGUUAAAUCUUGAGGCUUAACCUCAAAAUCGCAGUCGAAACUGCUUGACUAGAGUAUAGUAGGGGUAAAGGGAAUUUCCAGUGGAGCGGUGAAAUGCGUAGAUAUUGGAAAGAACACCGAUGGCGAAGGCACUUUACUGGGCUAUUACUAACACUGAGAGACGAAAGCUAGGGUAGCAAAUGGGAUUAGAUACCCCAGUAGUCCUAGCUGUAAACAAUGGAUACUAGAUGUUGAACAGAUCGACCUGUGCAGUAUCAAAGCUAACGCGUUAAGUAUCCCGCCUGGGAAGUAUGCUCGCAAGAGUG